rnacentral:rRNA from 1 species
CAAGAGCGUAUAUUAAUACUGCUGUAGUUAAAACGCCCGUAGUAUACCUAAGAGUGGGUGUGUAGUAAUUAGUUUUAUCAGAGGACGGUUGGCGAGAGUUUAUCACUCUUGUUUGCCUACUUUUGGUAGACUUCAGUCGGGCUGGAUCUUUGGUCCUUGUCUGACAGUUGCUACGUACUUACUUACCACGGUUCAUCCGUGAGGCCCUUGGCUUGCAACUGUAAAUAAAUCGUUGUGCUUAAAGCGGGCUAUGAUACUCUGCCAGAGCGAUUUAGCAUGGGACUGCAGAGUAGCUGUAUUUGAGUGAAGGUCGCACCUCGGUGUAGCUGGAGCUUGGUACAGCGCUUGUAAUGGAGCUCAGGGUGAGGCCCCGGGUACCAUGAGGCUAGAGGUGAAAUUCUGAGACCC